CAGCAGGCAACUUACAGCCUCCACGAAAAUGAAAUAAACACAGGUGAACCAACAUUCCACGAGGACAAUAUAAAUUGAAAGCAACUUUAAUGCACCAAGACGUAUUUAGCCUCAAAUAUCAUAAGAUUGCCAAAUGAGCAUGGAAUGAGUAAGUCUGUUGAAAAAUGGAUUCUGAGAAGUUUUGGAACAGCAAGCAUCAUGAUAACGUUCGACCACAAUCUCCUUUUGCUUUACUACAAAAGACCCCUGCUUGACUGAUUCCCUUUAUUUUCCUCUUUAUUAGUAGGCAUACCAUCUCGUUCUGUGUAUAUCCAUUUGUAUCUGAAUUAGCAUUCGUGUGUGAAUAUUAGGCAGGUUCAAUUUGUAAGAAAACUAUAUGUUUGUU